AUUGAACGCUGGCGGAAUGCUUUACACAUGCAAGUCGAACGGCAGCACGGACCUCGGUCUGGUGGCGAGUGGCGAACGGGUGAGUAAUGUAUCGGAACGUGCCCAGUCGUGGGGGAUAACGUAGUGAAAAUUACGCUAAUACCGCAUACGAUCUAUGGAUGAAAGCGGGGGAUUGCAAGACCUCGCGCGAUUGGAGCGGCCGAUAUCAGAUUAGGUAGUUGGUGGGGGAAAGGCCCACCAAGCCAACGAUCUGUAGCUGGUCUGAGAGGACGACCAGCCACACUGGAACUGAGACACGGUCCAGACUCCUACGGGAGGCAGCAGUGGGGAAUUUUGGACAAUGGGCGAAAGCCUGAUCCAGCCAUUCCGCGUGCAGGAUGAAGGCCCUCGGGUUGUAAACUGCUUUUGUACAGAACGAAAAGGUUUCUACUAAUACUAGGAGCUCAUGACGGUACUGUAAGAAUAAGCACCGGCUAACUACGUGCCAGCCGCCGCCGUAAUAC
rnacentral:rRNA from 1 species